rnacentral:rRNA from 1 species
UACGGGGGGAGCAAGCGUUGUUCGGAUUUACUGGGCGUAAAGGGCGCGUAGGCGGCCUCUGCAAGUCGACUGUGAAAUCUCCGGGCUUAACCCGGAAAGGUCAGCCGAUACUGCAGGGCUAGAGUGCAGAAGGGGCAACUGGAAUUCUCGGUGUAGCGGUGAAAUGCGUAGAUAUCGAGAGGAACACCUGCGGCGAAGGCGGGUUGCUGGGCUGACACUGACGCUGAGGCGCGAAAGCUAGGGGAGCGAACAGG